AUUCCCGUUGAUCCUGCGGGAGAUUGCUGCUAUUGGGAUCCGGCUUAGCCAUGCAAGUCAAGGGGCGCAAGCACCGGCAAACUGCUCAGUAACACGUCGAUAAUCUGAGCUUAGGCCAGGGAUAACCUUGGGAAACUGAGGCUAAACCCUGAUAUGGGAUAGGUAUUGGAAAAUUCUUUCCCUGAAAAGGCAACUGCCUAAGCAUGAGUCGGCGGCCGAUUAGGUUGUUGGCGGUGUAAAGGACCACCAAGCCAAAGAUCGGUAGGGGCCUUGAGAGAGGAAGCCCCGAGAAGGGCACUGAGACACUGGCCCUAGCUCCACGGAGUGCAGCAGGCGCGAAACCUCUACACUACACGAAAGUGUGAUAGGGGGAUCCCAAGUGCCUAUACUUUGUAUAGGCUUUUGCCAAGAGUAAAGUUCUUGGCGAAUAAGUGGUGGGCAAGACUGGUGCCAGCCGCCGCGGUAACACCAGCGCCACUAGUGGGAAUCAUAUUUAUUGGGUCUAAAGCGUCCGUAGCUGGUCAGGUAAAUCUUUUGUGAAAUCGUUAGAAACCUAACGGCGUGCAGAAGACACUGCCAGACUUGGAACUGGGAGGGGCUAGAGGUAUUUGAGGGGGAGCAGUAAAAUGCUAUAAUCCCUUGAGGACCACCUGUGGCGAAGGCGUCUAGCCAGAACAGAUUCGACGGUGAGGGACGAAGGCUAGGGGAGCGAUCCGGAUUAGAUUUUGUCGCUGGCGCUCUAAAUUCAGGUCGCUGGCGCGACUAAAUACCCGAGUAGUCCUAGCAGUAAACGCUGCGAGCCAGAUGUUGCAUAUUCUUCGUGGAUAUGCAGUGUCGCAACGAAGGUGUUAAGCUCGCCACCUGGGGAGUACGGCCGCAAGACUGAAACUUAAAGGAAUUGGCGGGGGGGCACUACAAGGGGGGCGGCGUGG
rnacentral:rRNA from 1 species